rnacentral:rRNA from 1 species
GAUGAACGCUGGCGGCGUGCCUAAUACAUGCAAGUCGAGCGAACAGACGAGGAGCUUGCUCCUCUGACGUUAGCGGCGGACGGGUGAGUAACACGUGGAUAACCUACCUAUAAGACUGGGAUAACUUCGGGAAACCGGAGCUAAUACCGGAUAAUAUAUUGAACCGCAUGGUUCAAUAGUGAAAGACGGUUUUGCUGUCACUUAUAGAUGGAUCCGCGCCGCAUUAGCUAGUUGGUAAGGUAACGGCUUACCAAGGCAACGAUGCGUAGCCGACCUGAGAGGGUGAUCGGACACACUGGAACUGAGACACGGUCCAGACUCCUACGGGAGGCAGCAGUAGGGAAUAUUACGCAAUGGGCGAAAGCAUGACGGAGCAAAGCCGCGUGAGUGAUGAAGGUCUUCGGAUCGUAAAACUCUGUUAUUAGGGAAGAACAAAUGUGUAAGUAACUAUGCACGUCUUGACGGUACCUAAUCAGAAAGCCACGGCUAACUACGUG